UACGAAGGGGGCUAGCGUUGUUCGGAUUUACUGGGCGUAAAGCGCACGUAGGCGGAUUGUUAAGUCAGGGGUGAAAUCCUGGAGCUCAACUCCAGAACUGCCUUUGAUACUGGCAAUCUUGAGUCCGGAAGAGGUGAGUGGAACUCCUAGUGUAGAGGUGGAAUUCGUAGAUAUUAGGAAGAACACCAGUGGCGAAGGCGGCUCACUGGUCCGGUACUGACGCUGAGGUGCGAAAGCGUGGGAAGCAAACAGG
rnacentral:rRNA from 1 species